GACGCCUCCAGAGCCGCGGGCGGGUCGCUUCUGCGCAUGCGCAGGAGCAGCUCGAGCGGGAGGACUCUUUUAGCCGUUUAUGUUUCUGGACGCUAUCGAUCAGUAUCGACACUGAAGCGGCUUUGAUGGAUUGUAAAAUGCCCGCGCGACGCAGUCGGGAUGUCUGAAGGAACCGCCGAAGGCCUGCAAACACUUUCCCGCUUCUUUCUGGGAAGAAAGCCGCAGUUCAGCACCCGGAUGGAGCGUCAGGAAGCACUGAAGGUGUGGACGAGGCAUUCUGGGAAAGCUGGAUCCCAAAGAGACAAGGAGGAGACGGAAACUUUUGAUGAGUCCUGAGCCGUUGAAUCUACGUGACCCACGUACGCUGAAGCCCACAAGCCCGGCGCGGGGGCCACUUUUGAUCCGGGCGCACAGAAAUCAGGAGCAGCAUGGAGCCGCAGGCUAGCAAGACACUGCAGAGAGAAUGUGUGUCGAUGGGUGAUUUUUGAGGAGUGUUUACAGAAGCCAGAGCGGAUAUAAAAGCGUAACGUGGGAGUUUGUCCUCUCAGUGGAUUUCUGGAAUAUUUUCAUUUCAUCUGCUGCAGAUGGAGGCUGAGCUUUCGGCUCCUUUUGCUGCUGCAGCUGAUGAUGAUGAAGGGGUCGUGGUUUUUCUAAACUGUGGAGAAGAAAGAGUGUUCAGCUUUGAGAUUCCUCACGCUUCACGCCGCCGUCUGUUUUUGUUGGAUGUACAUUUCCUGCAUCGAUGCGAGCUCAUCUCCACGCUGACUGCGACACAGCUGCCAAUAAUUACAGAUCCGACAGAUUAAAACCUGAGCAGCAUUGGGCCAAUCAAACUCUCCCCUGGAGCUCUUCAUCUCCAUCCUCUUCCUCCUCUGUGUCCUGAAUUCUGUCCAUCAGUUGAGCAAACAUUUCAGAGCUGAAGGCCUCUUGUGUUGGACAGAUGUUACUGGAAUAGGAAUCUUUGGACACAGGAGGAGUAUAUUCGUAUAAACUCCUUUUGUAUUUGAGGCUAAAUUCGAUAUGUUUGUAUUUUACUUUUUUGAUCAAACGACAGAAGAAAGGUGAAUAUUAUUUGUUUAUUCUUAUCCUUGUUGACAAAUCUAGAACAUUGUUUCCUCAUUUAUCUGUUAUCUACAAACAAUGUGUCUAUUUCAAUCAAUAAAAUCUCACUGCAAUCA